ACUCAGCUAGCUCAGUCGGAAGAGCAUGAGACACUUAAUCUCAGGGUCAUGAGUUCGAGCCCCAUGUUGGGUG